CUUUCCUUGCCAAGUUUUCUGUUCAUGAUCUACCUUGAACUCUUUUAUCUAUCUUCACAUUUACAGAUCAAAGUUGGGUUUGGAAAGCAUAGAAGAGAGGAGGAAACACUUCCCAGAUUUGUCUAUAUGAUCAACAACAAUGGCAAUAACAACCUGUAUUCACCACAAAUCCAACAUUGGCUGUCUUCAUGGUGCACAGGGAUUUCUUUUAUUCCAUGGAUACUACUCCAGCUGAGAAUAACAAUUGGAUUUACAUCUAUGGGGCUGUGGACUUUGCAGAAGUGUCUCAACAACGGCUGACAUAAUGCACAAAAGAUGAAGAGAGAUGUGUCUGUCUUCAGCCCGCAUGCAUGCUGCUUAAUCACCAAAUAGUUUUUAUUUAGGAUUCCCACAUGAUGUAUUUGGCUCCUCAGUGAGGUGUGUAUUUUCCAUGGAUAAUCCAAGUAUGUAAAUACUAUAUGCCCAGAUGCUAAGGGAGUGUUCACAUAUACUCAUGAUGGGAGCUGAGAAAUGUGCGUAAUAAUAAUAAUGCAUUUUCUUGUGGUUUUGCAAGAGACUUUGGGGAUCCAAACUGAAUCUUUUAGAGGCU